GUGAUAAAAGGGGAUAGGGUUGACUGCUGUCUUCCUCUUAUGGAAUAAGAAGGGUAGCUGGACGUGGGAGGUAAGAAACUUGUACCUCUUCUCUUUCUUUUGUUGAGCAUGAAGUGCAGUCUGGAAAUGCGAGUGAGAAUUUUGCUCCUCUCCUUGAAUACAAGGACUUGUUUGGAAAUGGAAGGAGCCUCAGCUGGGACAUCAAACUGAGUCUACCAAAUUGGAACGGCAUGCAAGGCCAUUUCUCACCUCCAGCCACUGUAAUCUGGUGGGGCUCUUGGAGCAAAAUCCUUUCCAACUGGGUUAUGCUAAAGCCAAGUACCACACUCUAAUAUUUAUAGCACCCAGGCUGCCCAUCUGACUGCAGAACUGCCACAUCUGAGACCCUUCUCCAGCAUUUCUUUGGCAUGGUAGCAAAGGGAAAGUUUUGGCUCAAGUUCUGUCUCCUGUCUGAUUUCCUUUUCCCUGCUCCUGACAAAAUGGAUGGAGCAUAAAGAGCACUGCAGCUCUACCUUACACAACUGAAUGAGCUCACAUGGAGGAGCAAAGUCUUGUCCACAUGUUCUCUCUCAGCUGCAGCUGUGUUGGCUGUGUUUUUGUCACUGAAUACUCAUCUGUACACCCUGCCAGGAGAGAAGGUUGUUAAGCUGCACAAUGCCUUAACCAAUCUUAGUUGAAAUGAACUCAGUGUAGCUUGCAGAUCUCAAAGCAAACCUAUACAGUUGACACAAAGGAGGUGGGGAGGGCUCCCAGGAAGGGGUCUGUGUGAACAGUUCUUGGAAGGUGGCCUGCAGAUGGAGGAAUAAGAAGGUCUCCAUCAGCACAUCAUAGCCAGAAGAGGAUAUAGGAACAAGACUUCAACCACAUCCAAAAAUGGAGGCUGAUGCAGCUUCUGAGGAGAAUUGAUGAAGGCACUGAAUUGCGCCUGAACUCCUGUGCUUACUUGUAUUUCCUGGCCUAGUCUGAAAGAUGUCAAUUUAGCUAUUAAGGUCUAAUAACAAAAUGGAAAGCUUAAUUAUAAAUGAUGAAAUGUUGUAUUAGAGGUUAACCAAACAGUCUGAUAAACAAUUCUGUUGUUGCAUUUCAUCUCCCUGUUAAUAAAUUACUGGUUUGUCAGUUGUCUGCUUC